rnacentral:rRNA from 1 species
CAGCAGUGGGGAAUUUUGGACAAUGGGCGCAAGCCUGAUCCAGCUAUUCCGCGUGUGGGAUGAAGGCCCUCGGGUUGUAAACCACUUUUGUAGAGAACGAAAAGACACCUUCGAAUAAAGGGUGUUGCUGACGGUACUCUAAGAAUAAGCACCGGCUAACUACGUGCCAGCAGCCGCGGUAAUACGUAGGGUGCGAGCGUUAAUCGGAAUUACUGGGCGUAAAGGGUGCGCAGGCGGUUGAGUAAGACAGAUGUGAAAUCCCCGAGCUUAACUCGGGAAUGGCAUAUGUGACUGCUCGACUAGAGUGUGUCAGAGGGAGGUGGAAUUCCACGUGUAGCAGUGAAAUGCGUAGAUAUGUGGAAGAACACCGAUGGCGAAGGCAGCCUCCUGGGACAUAACUGACGCUCAGGCACGAAAGCGUGGGGAGCAAACAGGAUUAGA